rnacentral:rRNA from 1 species
UACAGAGGUCCCAAGCGUUGUUCGGAUUCACUGGGCGUAAAGGGGGCGUAGGCGGUCGGGUAAGUCUGAUGUGAAAUCUCCAAGCCUAACUUGGAAACUGCAUUGGAUACUAUCCGGCUCGAGGAAUGGAGGGGAGACUGGAAUACUUGGUGUAGCAGUGAAAUGCGUAGAUAUCAAGUGGAACACCAGUGGCGAAGGCGAGUCUCUGGACAUUUCCUGACGCUGAGGCACGAAAGCCAGGGGAGCAAACGGG